rnacentral:rRNA from 1 species
CACGUAGGGGACGAGCGUUGUCCGGAAUCAUUGGGCGUAAAGCGCGCGUAGGCGGCCUGGAAAGUCGGUUGUGAAAGCCCGGGGCUCAACCCCGGGACUGCAUCCGAUACUGCCAGGCUGGAGGUAGGUAGGGGAGAUCGGAAUUCCUGGUGUAGCGGUGAAAUGCGCAGAUAUCAGGAGGAACACCGGUGGCGAAGGCGGAUCUCUGGGCCUUACCUGACGCUGAGGCGCGAAAGCUAGGGGAGCGAACAGG